UUGGUAGCUGAGGGGCUGCAGGGGUGACCUCUGUGAGUGGAGCAAGCAACCAUGCGAGGCAAGAGCAAGAUCUAGCCAAUACCAAAAGGGACUUGCCGCUGCCAGAGCUGAGCCAUGAGUGGGUGUGCCUCUGGAAGGGCAGAUUUAAGAAAGGGAAAAACUGCUGCACCAGUGCAGGAGGAGCUCCAUGCCCGGAGCAGCAGCUUCCUGCAGCCCAGGAGAGGUCCAUAGAAGAGGAGCAGGCUGUCCGCUGCAGCCGCGGAGCAGAUCUCCACAUGCAGACAAGGAGGAACCCGCGGUGCAGCAGUGGGUGAGACUGAAGGAGGCACGGCCCAUGGAGAGCCCCUUGGGAGGAGCUGCAGCUUUGGAGAGCUGCCCGCGGUGGGGCAGGAAGGCUGGGGGAGCUGUCGCCCGUGCGGAGCCGUGGGGAGCAGUGCCGGACGGGUGGGCCCCGUGGGACAGAGCCGUGAUCGAGCAGUGCUCAGAGGGCUGCAACCUGUGGGAAGCACACACGUGAUCAGUUUAGAAAGGACGGCAUCCCGUGAGAGAGACCCAGGGGAGCAGAACAUGCCUAGAUUAUUCUUCCUUCUCCUGGACAGAUCCAGAAAGCAAGCAGACAAUCCAAGGGUAUGACUCUACAGAAAACUCUUAUUGUUAAAUUGUAUUCAGGGAUCACCUGCCUUUGCUUCCCAUGAUACCUCCCAAGGCAGCAAUAACUGUAUUGCUCUGAAGGAGACCAUUACCAACAAUGGUUGCAACUCCGGUAUGGGCGAGAAAUGGAAUUUCAUUAUAACUACAUUCAAAGGCAUUAUUAUUGUCUUAGAGGAAUGCAGGUCUACCUUCCACUACAGGAAGCUGUACUGUCUCCUCUUGAAGUCUGGCAGUGCAAAAGCGUGAAGAUUAACUCCAAUCACCUUCCACAGGCAGGUGUGAAUUCUCAACCAGUGUCUCCAUCUAGAUUUCUCAGUUCACCCCACCCCUAGUUCUGCAGGGCUAUCACACACUCUUUCAAUAUAUGAACUUACCACUGGCUACCAGGCUUCUCUCCACACUCCCUUGUUGUACAUUCCCAAAAAAGUCAAUUAUGAGUUCUUUAAGGACCCAUAAAUAUCAAAAGGAUUUGGUGGGAGUCAUAUUCCCAGAAUUUUCUAGAGUUAGGUAAGGGCUGGGAGUAAUGCCCUGGCCCAGAUUGCUGUGGAAGCAGCAACCUAGCCUGCAGAGAUUUAAAAAGAAAUUACCCAAUUAAGAUGUAAUGGCCCUCCAGCCUUCCCAGGCUGUGAAUGAGUGCAGGCAUAUUUACAAUCACAGAGAAUCAUAAAACUCUAUCCAGUUAUAUCAAAUCAGCAGGGCUAAAUUAGCAGCAACAUCCUGAUUAGGUGCUGUGCCUGUGUGUGUGUGUGCGUGUGUGUGCAGGAUGAUUUAUGAUGAGAUCUGCUGAACCCAUCAAAAGAGAUUUUAAAAUGACCUUCCAGGGAAAAAAAAGGGGGGAAGAGAGGGAUAUGGAGGUUUCAGGUAGACAAUUGUACUGCCUCGCUGUGAAAGAUCAUAGUGAAUAGAGGGGAAGAAAGAUUACAUUUGUCAGUGUGUUUGUAUGAUGAAUACUUACCCACUUUCACACAUUCCCUCCCCCUUGGCAGGCAAAAAGGAGGCAAAGUUCAUUUUCCAUUGGGGAGUUUUGUUAUGGUAGGGUUCCUUGUCACUAUUUAAUUAUCCUAAUAGAGAGAUGUCCCUUUUUUUAAGUGAAUCUUACUUACACUCAUGAAUACUGAGGGACUGCACAAGCACAGCAAAGUGGAAUCCUGUUUAUCCAAAGGUCAGAGAUGAUUGCAGGCAGGUGGUCCAAUUACCCUAGAGAAAAAAAAAAAAACUUUCUCCCUCCAUCCUUUUCCAUUCUCUACAGCUAGGCCAGGAAAAAAUGAUAAAUAAAAAUCUAACCUAGAGCUGCAUAAAGGAGGCUGUCAGCCUUUUUGCUUCUGGAGAGAGCAGCAGUACAGUUUGGUACAAGGAUAGUGUGCUCAUGAAUCCAAAACAUAAAUCACUGCCUUUAUAAUAGGGCCAUGAAGGCAGGGAUGAAGCUUCUUUCAGCUAAGAGAGCAACAAGCAACAACAACUCAAAGGUGCGGGAGAUUAGACGAGGCUUUUAUUUGUCACUGUGCCUCUGCUCUUUCUGCUUCUCCAACCAUUCACAGCAUUUCUUUCCCCAAUAUGUGCCCUACCUCCCAAACUCCUGGCCACCCUGAAAUUUCUCAGCUGACCGCCUGAGCCCACAAGGUGUGACACGUUCCAGAAAGGACUCUCCAUGCUUGUCAGUUCCUCCUGGUGCCGUAAUCCUGCAAAGGAAAUAUUUUUACAGGGCAGUAAUGCGUGGCAGCCUUCAAGUUCACUAAAAUAUGGAUGAGGGAUGGUUUCAGUGAUUGAGCACAAAAUGAAAAAGCUCUUAUACCAGCUCCCUCAAAGAGAGAAGAUUGUCAUCUAGGCCAUCAUUACAGCAGUGUUUAAAAAAAAAAAAAAGUAUACAUGGCAGUAUUUACACCAAAUACA